AUUGAACGCUGGCGGCAGGCCUAACACAUGCAAGUCGAACGAGUGGCGGACGGGUGAGUAAUGUUUGGGAAACUGCCCGCUGGAGGGGGUUAACUACUGGAAACGGUAGCUAAUACCGCAUACCAUCGGAUGUGCCCAGAGGGGAUUAGCUAGUAGGUGGGGUAACGGCUCACCGAGGCGCCGAUCCCUAGCUGGGCUGAGCGGAUGACCAGCCACACUGGAACUGAGAAACGGUCCAGACGCCUACGGGAGGCAGCAGUGGGGAAUAGUGCGCAAUGGGCGCAAGCCUGAUGCAGCCAUGUAGCGUGGAUGAAGAAGGCCUUCGGGUUGUAAAGUACUUUCAGCGAUGAGGCGUUACUCGCAGAAGAAGCACCGGCUAACUCCGUGCCAGCCGCCGCGGUAAUAC
rnacentral:rRNA from 1 species